CGCAAAGAUUUAACGCCCCUGUAGUCAUGACGUUCCUUUGAAUCCUUUGCUUCCAGAGAGUUCAGAGGUCGAAGCGCCGGCGAAGAUGUCGCACUUUGGAAGAUCUGGUCCUCCAGACAUUAGAGACACAUACUCUCUUCUAGUUCUCAACAUCACUUUUCGUACCACCGCUGAUGACUUGUAUCCUCUCUUCGAUAAGUAUGGAAAA